GAGUUUGAUCAUGGCUCAGGAUGAACGCUAGCGACAGGCUUAACACAUGCAAGUCGAGGGGCAGCACAGGUAGCAAUACCGGGUGGCGACCGGCGCACGGGUGCGUAACGCGUAUGCAACCUACCUAUAAUAGGGGGAUAGCCUUCUGAAAGGGAGAUUAAGACCGCAUAGUACAACUGAAUCGCAUGGAUUGGUUGUAAAAUAUUUAUAGAUUAUAGAUGGGCAUGCGUCUGAUUAGAUAGUUGGAGAGGUAAAGGCUCACCAAGUCAACGAUCAGUAGGGGUUCUGAGAGGAAGGUCCCCCACACCGGAACUGAGACACGGUCCGGACUCCUACGGGAGGCAGCAGUGAGGAAUAUUGGUCAAUGGGCGAGAGCCUGAACCAGCCAAGUCGCGUGAAGGAAGAAGGUCUUAUGGAUUGUAAACUUCUUUUAUAGGGGAAUAAAGAUGAGUACGUGUACUCAGUUGUAGGUACCCUAAGAAUAAGGAUCGGCUAACUCCGUGCCAGCAGCCGCGGUAAUACGGAGGAUCCGAGCGUUAUCCGGAUUUAUUGGGUUUAAAGGGUGCGUAGGCGGGUUGAUAAGUCAGUGGUGAAAGGUU
rnacentral:rRNA from 1 species